AUGCAAAAACUAAAACCAAUCGGUUCUUUCAUUGCAUUUGAUUGGUUUUCUGCCAAAAACAGGAGGCCAUCAGAUCAAGCCAGUGUUCGUUUCAUCAACCAAAUUAAAGCCCCAACUCACAAAAUGAUUUCACCAAAAACAGGGCCGGAACAAGAAGCGCAGGAUCAAACCAUCAACCUCGAAUCCCAUAGACAAACAAAUCCGAUAAAAGUUCGAUCGAUCUCUACGUCCGAGAGCAGCGGCUAUCAUGCAAAGAUUCUACGGGAGACGAACAAAGUCCGCCGAAAAACAAACCACGGCAAGUUCAAGGCCGAGCUUUGGAAGGCUUACAUGUAUAUGAAGGUGUCGCGGCCGGGGCCGAGGCGGCGGCAGCAGAGGCCGCAGGCCUUGAGGAAGGCGGCCGUCUCCACGGCGGCGUUGAAGUCCCCCGAGUGGCGCCUCUGGAAGGCGGCCGAGGCGGCGCCCCACUCCGUCUGCGCCGGCGCCGCCGAGGCGCCCCUGGCCGCCCGCGUGGGCUGGCGCCCCGCCUCCUCCUCCGGCGGCACCGCGAAGGCCGACAUGCUCGUGGUCCGCCGCAUCGAGCUGCUGUUCCGGUGCCUCUUCCCCAGCGUCGUCAUCGCCCCUCGCCUAGGUUCCACCGGCCGGACGGACGGAGUCGGAGAGGGGGAGAGGGAGUGGGGGAUGGCGAGUGGCGAAGGAGGGAGGAGGAGGGAGGCUCUGUGUGGGGGUAGUUAA
rnacentral:rRNA from 1 species